UACGUAGGAGGCGAGCGUUGUCCGGAAUUACUGGGCGUAAAGAGCGCGUAGGCGGCAUGGUACGACCUGUGUGAAAGCCCCCGGCUCAACUGGGGAGGGUCAUGGGUAACGGCCGAGCUAUGAGUGCAGGAGAGGGACGUGGAACUCCGGGAGUAGCGGUGAAAUGCGUAGAGACCCGGAGGAACACCAGUGGCGAAGGCGGCGUCCUGGCCUGCGACUGACGCUGUGGCGCGAAAGCUAGGGGAGCAAACGGG
rnacentral:rRNA from 1 species